rnacentral:pre_miRNA from 1 species
UUCUAAGGUAGUCAUUAGUUUCCAUAUCCAAAUUUGAUCAUCCGUCUUAUUUAAAAAUUUUUCGAAAAAAAUAAAAAUAUAAGUCACGCAUAAAAUUCUAUUCAUGUUUUAUCAUCUAAUAUAAUAAUAAAAAUACUAAUCAUAAAAAAAUUUCGAAUAAUACAGAUGAUUAAAGUUGGACACGGAAACUUAUGGUUGCGUUUAAA